rnacentral:lncRNA from 1 species
UCCUCUCCUUGGGUCUCUAUGUUGACUUAUGGUGGCUUGCUAGCCGACGUACUUACCAGAUCUUACCGCUCAUUUGAUGAUCAAUCCCAAGCCCAACUCAGUGAUUUUUCUCCAAGAUAGAGCAUCCCCUCUCUCAGCUAAUUUGAGACCUUCUCCAAUCUUAUUUUUCUCGUGCUAGCUAUAGAUUGUCUUGUUGGCAUGGUGGCCAACUUUGCCCUUAGUCAGCUAACAGAUGGAGCUAGCCUAGCCAUUGAUGAGACUAAUCUCCCCUGCUUUUGAGACCAAAUAACAUCCCAUGGAUCUC